rnacentral:rRNA from 1 species
AUUGAACGCUGGCGGCAUGCUUUACACAUGCAAGUCGAACGGUAACAGGCCGCAAGGUGCUGACGAGUGGCGAACGGGUGAGUAAUGCAUCGGAACGUGCCCAGUCGUGGGGGAUAACUACUCGAAAGAGUAGCUAAUACCGCAUACGAUCUAUGGAUGAAAGCGGGGGACCGUAAGGCCUCGCGCGAUUGGAGCGGCCGAUGUCAGAUUAGGUAGUUGGUGGGGUAAAGGCUCACCAAGCCAACGAUCUGUAGCUGGUCUGAGAGGACGACCAGCCACACUGGGACUGAGACACGGCCCAGACUCCUACGGGGGGCAGGAGUGGGGAAAUUUGGACCAUGGGGCCAAGCCUGAUCCAGCAAUGCCGCGUGGAGGAAAAAGGCCUUCGGGUUGUAAACUGCUUUUGUACGGAACGAAACGGCUCUGGUUAAUACCCGGGGCUAAUGACGGUACCGUAAGAAUAAGCACCGGCUAACUACGUG